UUGAAAAGGGAGCCCUUCGGGGUUCAACCUUAAACCCUUUGACUUAUUACCUGUUUCUUUGGCGGGCUUGCCCGUCAGAAGUUUUCUCAAACCCAUUAUAAACGUGUCGUCUGAAAACAAUAUAAAUAAAACA
rnacentral:misc_RNA from 1 species